UAAUAUUUGUUGGAUAUUCCGCCAUUUUUAUACAGGCAACCCCUGCUUCUAUGCACAGUACAUCGUACCAUGUAGCAGGCGGAUCCUGUCCACGGUCCCCAGAAAGUUGGUGAUGCGAUGCUGAUGAUAUUGAUUUGGAUUUGACCCUUUGGGAGAUUUUUUUCUUCCUGACAACCCAUUCCAAAACGUAUAGGCUUGUUUUGGCACCUUUCAUUGCUGUCAUUAUUCCUUAUUGUUCUUCUUCUUCUUCUUCUUCUUCUUCUUCUUCUUCUUCUUCUUCUUCUUCUUCACCUUUACUUGUCUCUUAGGGACCUUCCUUGAGUUGAAUUCAGAUCUUUUGAUGCCCUG
rnacentral:sRNA from 1 species